AACUACCAUUUGGGGUAGGCGGUUUGUGCAAUGCAGACUACUUGGUGUUCAUUUCACUUACACAGCCUUAAAAGAGAAAGUAAAACCCCCAAAUAGAUACACACAAGAACUUCACACAAGGCACGAAGGGCCUAUGGUUUUCCUCUACGUCUAAAUUACGAUGCUCGGCAUCAUCAAGAGUAAGAGAGAGCAACAGUAUCCCCCUCCAAGGGAGGCAAAGCCAGAUGUCAAUGAGAGCUAUAUCUUGGAUCCCUUUGGGCUCAUUCUCAAGAGACUUUCUGGAAAUCACUUGAUCGUUCGUGAAAAUCAAGUCUCCAUGGUGCAAGCAUGGGUGGCUGAAUGGCAGUGCUGCCCAGCACUAGAACAGGAAGUGGAGAGAGCACCUUCUAGGAAUGAAGAUGUGAGGGGAGAAAACAAUCCCUUGCUUUUGAGGAGCUCCGGCAGGUGGAGGAAAUCCACGUAAAUACACCAGGACAGCACGGUGGUGUUCAGGAUCCGUGCUAGAGACUAGCAGGAGAGAACCAUCAGAAACUUGACAGAGCAAACUGCCUUCAGACACCAUUGAGAUCAUGACACAGGCCAGUACACUUCAGGAAAUUCAAACUGACAGAAACCCCGGCCUUCUGCUAUUGCAAAAGUGGCUUGGUGUAGCAAGACGCCAGCUCAGAGCCAUGGGCUGCAACUAAAGAUCUCAUUAUAUUGUCAAACAAGACUGCAAGGCUCACAAGAAACAGCGACGGUAUUCUUGUUGAGAGUUGGG